GUUGCCAAUGAACUUCAAGUUCCUUUCUUAUCAUUUGCUGCUACUGAUCCCACACUCUCCUCUCUUCAGUUCCCUUAUUUUCUUAGGACAACUCAAAGUGAUCUAUACCAGAUGACUGCAAUAGCUGAGAUCAUUGAAUUUUAUGCUUGGAAGGAGGUCAUAGCGAUUUUUAUUGAUGACGACUAUGGGAGAAAUGGUGUCUCUGCAUUAGAUGAUGCACUUGCAACAAGGCGCUGCCGUAUCUCAUAUAAAGUAGGGAUUUCCCCUGGAGCUACUGUGACGCGAGGUGAUGUUAUGGAUGUUAUGGUAAA
rnacentral:misc_RNA from 1 species